UACGUAGGUGGCGAGCGUUGUCCGGAUUUAGUUGGGCGUAAAGAGCGUGUAGGCGGCCUGGUAGGUCUGCUGUGAAAACUCGAGGCUCAACCUCGAGAUGUCGGCGGAAACCAUCUGGCUAGAGUCCGGAAGAGGAGAAUGGAAUUCCCGGUGUAGCGGUGAAAUGCGCAGAUAUCGGGAAGAACACCCGUGGCGAAGGCGGUUCUCUGGGACGGUACUGACGCUGAGACGCGAAAGCGUGGGGAGCGAACAGG
rnacentral:rRNA from 1 species